rnacentral:rRNA from 1 species
CUACGGGUUGCUCCAGUGGGGAAUAUUGGACAAUGGGCGCAAGCCUGAUCCAGCAAUACCGCGUGUGUGAAGAAGGCCUGCGGGUUGUAAAGCACUUUCAAUUGUGAAGAAAAGCUCGAGGUUAAUACCCUCGGGUCUUGACGUUAACUUUAGAAGAAGCACCGGCUAAGCCUGUGCCAGCAGCCGCGGUAAUACAGGGGGUGCAAGCGUUAAUCGGAAUUACUGGGCGUAAAGCGCGCGUAGGCGGUUUGUUAAGUCAGAUGUGAAAGCCCUGGGCUCAACCUGGGAACUGCAUUUGAAACUGGCAGGCUAGAGUAUGGUAGAGGAAAGUGGAAUUUCGGGUGUAGCGGUGAAAUGCGUAGAUAUCCGAAGGAACAUCAGUGGCGAAGGCGACUUUCUGGACCAAUACUGACGCUGAGGUGCGAAAGCGUGGGGAGCAAACAGGAUUAGAUACCCGUGUAGUC